rnacentral:rRNA from 1 species
GACGUAGGAUGCAAGCGUUGUCCGGAUUUAUUGGGCGUAAAGAGUUCGUAGGUGGUUUGUUAAGUCUGAUGUUAAAGACUGGGGCUCAACCUCGGAAAUGCAUUGGAUACUGGCAGACUUGAGUGUGGUAGAGGCAAUCGGAAUUCCAGGUGUAGCGGUGAAAUGCGUAGAGAUCUGGAGGAACACCGAUGGCGAAGGCAGCCUUCUGGGCCAACACUGACGCUCAUGCACGAAAGCGUGGGGAGCAAACAGG